AAAUAAGCGGUAGAUUGUAAAUCUAUUUAGAUCCUGUAGGAUUCUUGUUAUAUAGUUUUGUUUAAAAAGGUUUUAAUUUGGUUAGUAUUGGUGAAAGAAGUCUUUAUAAUUAAUUUUAACCUGAAAAGGUAAAAAGAUUUAGUUUAGGAUAAAAUAAAUUGUGUGGAUCUUUAGUACUUUUUGCAUCACGGUCUUUUAAGGUAGAAAGCUCUUUUUAGUGUUUCUCGAAAUUAGGGUACGAGCUAUCUUUGUGUGUUUUUAUUGUUGCAUCAAUAAAAUUUAAAUAAAAGAUAGGUGUGAAAUGCUUUUCGUGUUUGAUGAUAGCUAGUUGGGUUUGAAAUUAGUGUCAGCUAGGCGUAUUAUCUUGCUUUAUUAUUUUAAGUUUUGAUGUAGCUUCAGAAUUUAAAGUUUAGAAAUAUAGCUGUUGUUUUGGGAAUUAGCUCGAAAUAGUGUUAAUUUAUAAAUUUAUUUGUAAAGGAAAAUGUGAGUUAGACAUAGAAUUUGUUUUAUACAACGUUUUGUGUAAAUUUUAAUAGUUAUUUUAAAAUAGUUUUAUUUUUAUUUUUAAUGAAUUAAAAUUUUUUAUUUAGAUAAGACUUUGUUAUUUUUAAUUUUGUGAUAUGUAAGAAAAUUAGGAGAGAAUGAGUAUUAUUGUUGUUUCAGAUAUGUAAUAAUUUUGCCUUAUUGUGUAAGAUUAGAGUUGUCUUAGAAUGUUUUUGUUAGAAGUAAAACUAAUGAACUCGGCAAAUAUGAAGUACGACUGUUUAAUAAAAACAUUUCUGGUUGUAUUUUUGAACAUAAUCAGUAUGACCUGCCCUAUGCGUAAAAGUAAAUGGCUGCGGAAUAAGUAACUGUGCGAAGGUAGCAUAAUUCUCGCGUCUAUUAAUUGUAGACUUUGUGAACGGUUUAACGUUAUUUCUUCUGUGUUGGUUUUAUUUUUUAGAAAUUUUUUUUUAAGUUAAGAAGCUUAGGUGUGUUUAAAAGACGAGAAGACCCCAUGAAACUUUAUUUAAGACAAAAAUACUUUUUGUCUUAGAUUUGGUUGGGGUAACACUUUUCUAUAAAAAAAGGAAAGAAGCUAAGGAGGUCUAUAGAUUAAGAGCAGAUAUUAUUUGAUUGUUAGAUAAAGUUACUCUGGGGAUAACAGAAUAAUUUUUUUUGUUAGAUCUUAUAACAAAAAAAGUUUAUUACCUCGAUGUUGGCUUAAGCGAACUUUUCUGGUGCAGUCGCUAGAGCUAGUAGGACUGUUCGUCCUUUUAUUGCUUACAUGAGCUGAGUUAAGAACGGCGUGAGUUAGUUCGGGUUCUAUCUUUAAACUAUUUAAUGAACAAUUAGUACGAAAGGAAUUUUAGUUUACUAAGCUUAUAAAUUAGGAAAAAGAGAUAAAAUGAAAAGUUAGUUUAAGUAAAAAUAC
rnacentral:rRNA from 1 species